rnacentral:lncRNA from 1 species
UUCAUAUUGAAAUAUUUCAGAAUUGCAGAAAACAUAGAAAUUGUUAGAUAUAGCUUUUGUAAGUUUAACCAUGGAAACUUAUUUAGACAACCUAGUGUGGAAUAGAAAUACUCUGACUUAUGAAAAAAGUAUAAAGAUUUAAUUUUAAUGAGUUUACUUCAAAAUGAAACUGAUCUUUAGAAUUAUAGAGAACUUAUCAUGUUACAAGGUGAACAAAAUGGAGGGGGUAUUUCAUUGAAAAUUUGAAAGAAUAAAAUUAUC